GUUUGGAACUGAGAAAAGACUAUGGAAAAAAUAGCACCAUCAUACUAUGCAGAUAUGCUCCAUGUGUGCAUUCAGUGCUGUCUGACUUUCUAGUGACAAUUUUUUAUUGGAUUCCCUGUUAUCUCUGCAGAGCCAACACAGCUAUAACAAAAUGAUCUGGGGAUUCUAUUUCAUCUCAUGCCUCCUGAAUAGGCUUAUUUAUUAAAUUUCCAUCAGUCACACCUGUGCAGUUAAGGGGGGGGGGGCGCGUUACACAGGUGUCAAUUAAGCCUGCAGAACCUUUAUUACUGGUGGUGAUUUGGGGGGAUAGAAGGGAGCCAACUUGGCUCUGAGAGCCCAGUCUGAAUGUGCCGGGCUUGCAGGUUGAAAAAGGACUCUUGUAUUUUGAACACAUCUGACAUGGAAACUGUAGAAGCAGUAAACAUGAGACUCCAUCCUUGGUGAUACUUUUACUAUGUCUCGCUUUUCAGAGCACUACUCCUUGGAAGGAAGGAAGGAAAAAACUCACCUGUUGUGGAUAAACAACAAACUCCGUGUGUUAAUUUGCUGUUUGACACAAAUUCAGGCUUGAAAUGCCAGCUGCCACCCCCUAAAUUUAAAGCACAGUGUUAAAGGGAAACUGUCAACUCAGAUUUGCCUGCACGUGUGAACCUCAUACGAACAAACUUUUUAUAAAACUCAUGAUCAGUGACAGUGGCUGCACUGGAAUUUUAAGAAGUUGUUUGAGUAGAUUGAUAUGAUAUGCUAGGGCUCUUGCUACUGCUACCAGAGAAGGAUAUUGUUGGGGGUUUUUUUUUUUUGUUUUUUUUAAAGCCUUUAACCCUCCUCUUUCCGGUUACUUGAAGGAUUUUCCAUAGGGCUUCUGUAGUGGGAGGGGAAUUUUCAUAUUAUAUAGUGUAGUGGAGAGGACUUGAGUAGUAACUCUUCUGCUCCUCCAAAUGAGCAGCUAACUCUGUCCCAGUGGCUGUAGUUUCCUUUGCAGUUUCACUAACCCUCUGCAGUUACCCUCUUUCUCACUACACUCUUGGAUUAGUAUCCCAUCCUUCCCACCAGUUGUUCCUUACACACAUACAUAGUAUGAAGGAAACACAUGAACACAGUAAUCACGUUGACUGACUAUAUACAUGCAAGGCCUUGCUAUACAUUCACACACCACUACUCUGGUGGCUUCUGAAACAUAAAGGACCAUGAGAGCCCCUUGGGAGAUCACAAACUAUUUGAGAACUAAAACGAGGAGUACUUGUGGCACCUUAGAGACUAACAAAUUUAUGUGGGCAUAAGCUUUCAUGGGCUAAAGUCCACUUCAUCGGCUGCACUGAUUAUCACUACAAAAGGUUUUUUUCUCCUGCUGAUAAUAGCCCACCUUAAUUAAUUUGUCUCUUUACAGUUGGUGUGGCAACAACCAUUUUUUCAUGUUCUCUCUGUGUGUGUAUAUAUCUACCUACUAUA